rnacentral:rRNA from 1 species
UGGGGAAUUUUGGACAAUGGGCGAAAGCCUGAUCCAGCAAUGCCGCGUGUGUGAAGAAGGCCUUCGGGUUGUAAAGCACUUUUGUCCGGAAAGAAAUCCUUGGCUCUAAUACAGUCGGGGGAUGACGGUACCGGAAGAAUAAGCACCGGCUAACUACGUGCCAGCAGCCGCGGUAAUACGUAGGGUGCAAGCGUUAAUCGGAAUUACUGGGCGUAAAGCGUGCGCAGGCGGUUUGCUAAGACCGAUGUGAAAUCCCCGGGCUCAACCUGGGAACUGCAUUGGUGACUGGCAGGCUAGAGUAUGGCAGAGGGGGGUAGAAUUCCACGUGUAGCAGUGAAAUGCGUAGAGAUGUGGAGGAAUACCGAUGGCGAAGGCAGCCCCCUGGGCCAAUACUGACGCUCAUGCACGAAAGCGUGGGGAGCAAACAGGAUUAGAUACCCUGGUAGUCCACGCCCUAAACGAUGUCAACUAGUUGUUGGGGAUUCAUUUCCUUAGUAACGUAGCUAACGCGUGAAGUUGACCGCCUGGGGAGUACGGUCGCAAGAUUAAAACUCAAAUGAAUUGACGGGGUCAUAGCUGUUU